GCAAGCGCCAGCCAGCCUGCCUGCAGCCCCAGAACCAGCAGCCCACUCCUGGAGCAAUGAUCGUGGAUUGUUCAGACAAGCAGUGACCUUCAGGCAUGUCUUAGCAACACAAAUGCGGAAGUCAAAUAAGGCUUGCAGAUGAUGGGAGAACCAGGCUCCACUCUCAGCUGGGCCCCUCUGACUGUACAAGCUUGAGCACACACAACCGGCCACCUCCUGGGGUCAACGUCCACCACACAGCACGGGGAUGACUUCCUACCUCCGAGGACUCUGAUGUAGCUGCAGAUGGCAGCAGGCUGGACCUGGACCCUAGUGAUCUGGCCAGGAGACAGCCUACUCAAGACCUCAUGCCUUGGCUCAAACCAGUGAAGAUCAGAUAGUGACACGGCAUUCCUGAAACUGUCCCCUCCUCGCCUGCCCACCCAGGGCUUUGCCACUGCCCUCGGAAGACCUUCGAGACCUUCCCCAGCCUGGAUGCUCCAACUCUCCGGCCCCCUGCACAGCUCAUCCCUUGUCCACCCUGCUCACCGGUCCCCUGGGGUCUUUGUGUUUGCUGCUUCUAUUGUCUAGAAUGGUGGUGAUUCUAUACCUCCCCACCUGGUGCCCCCCUCCGUCGUCCCCACCUGGAGGACAUAUGGCAAUGUCUGGAAACAUCUUUGGUUGUCACAACUUGGGGGUGAAAGAAAGGGAGUGUGCCACCAGCAUCUAGUGUGUAGAGACCAGGGAUGCUGCUCAACAUUCUGCAAUGCACAGGACUGUCCCUCCACCACAACAAAUGGUCCCAAGCAUCACCAGUGCCAUGUUUGAGGGACCCUGGCCUAGAAUGAUAAUCCCUUCCUCUUUCUCCUCCUUGAGAUCUCAACUCAAAUGUCACCUCCUCAGAAAGACUUUUGCACCUGCUUCCUCCACAGUGGGUGCCCCCCCAUCUCCUGUUACUGGCCCCCUGUUGGUUUUCCAUCCCCAGGGCUCCAUGAGUUGUGAUUCAUAUAUUGCUGGGUGGCUCCUUAUCCAUCUCCCCUGCUGGACUCUAAGGUCAAAAUGACUUUGUUUCACUCAUCGCUGAAUGCCCAGUGUCCAAGAUAUAGUAGAUGCUCAAUAAAUAACCCAUGAAAUACAGCUGAUGAUGAAAUAAGCCCACUGCAUUCCGAACCCACCUAGACAGAUAGACGUCGGCAUCUGAGUGAGGACGCAAAGGCCCCUCCCCCACCUUCAGCACCUCAUCACUUACCACUCCAGAAAGGCCUAUUGUCUGCCUCCUAUCCUAGCACCAGGCUUUCCAAAAUCCUCACUCUAGCUCUGGAAGUCGGGGUAUUUUUA